rnacentral:rRNA from 1 species
AGUGAACGCUGGCGGUAGGCCUAACACAUGCAAGUCGAACGGCAGCACAGUAAGAGCUUGCUCUUACGGGUGGCGAGUGGCGGACGGGUGAGGAAUACAUCGGAAUCUACUUUUUCGUGGGGGAUAACGUGGGGAAACUUACGCUAAUACCGCAUACGACCUACGGGUGAAAGCAGGGGAUCUUCGGACCUUGCGCGAUUGAAUGAGCCGAUGUCGGAUUAGCUAGUUGGCGGGGUAAAGGCCCACCAAGGCGACGAUCCGUAGCUGGUCUGAGAGGAUGAUCAGCCACACUGGAACUGAGACACGGUCCAGACUCCUACGGGAGGCAGCAGUGGGGAAUAUUGGACAAUGGGCGCAAGCCUGAUCCAGCCAUACCGCGUGAGUGAAGAAGGCCUUCGGGUUGUAAAGCCCUUUUGUUGGGAAAGAAAAGCAGCAGGUUAAUCCCCCGCUGUUCUGACGGUACCCAAAGAAUAAGCACCGGCUAACUUCGUG